GGAGCGGUACUCAAACUGGUAAAGAGGUCUGAUUGCUAAUCAGAUAGGUGAUGUUUACAUCAUGCGAGGGUUCGAAUCCCUUCUGCUCCU
rnacentral:tRNA from 7 species